rnacentral:rRNA from 1 species
CGUGUGGGAGAGGCCUUCGGGUUGUAACCACUGUCGGGAGUUAGGAAAUGCAGGUGCGUUAAUAGCGCACUUGCUUGACUAAGGCUCCAGAGGAAGCCACGGCUAACUCUGUGCCAGCAGCCGCGGUAAUACAGAGGCGGCAAGCGUUGUUCGGAAUUAUUGGGCGUAAAGAGCACGUAGGCGGCCUUGCAAGUCAGUUGUGAAAGCCUUCCGCUUAACGGAAGAACGGCAUCUGAUACUACAGGGCUUGAGUACGGGAGGGGAGAGUGGAACUUCUGGUGGAGCGGUGAAAUGCGUAGAUAUCAGAAGGAACGCCGGCGGCGAAAGCGACUCUCUGGUCCGAAACUGACGCUGAGUGUGCGAAAGCUAGGGGAGCAAACGGGAUUAGAUACCCCGGUAGUCCUAGCCGUAAACGAUGGGCACUAAGUAGAGGGGUUUUGAUUAUUUCUCUGCCGGAGCUAACGCAUUAAGUGCCCCGCCUGGGGAGUACGGCCGCAAGGCUAAAACUCAAAAGAAUUGACGGGGGCUCGCACAAGCGGUGGAGCAUGUGGCUUAAUUCGAUGCAACGCGAAGAACCUUACCGGGGCUUGACAUGGUAGAAGUAGAAUCCUGAAAGGGUGACGAUCGGUAUCCAGUCCGAAGCUAUCACAGGUGUUGCAUGGCUGUCGUCAGCUCGUGUCGUGAGACGUUGGGUUAAGUCCCCUAACGAGCGAAACCCUUGUCUUUAGUUGCUAACGGGUAAUGCUGAGCACUUUAGAGAGACUGCCGUCGUUAAGACGGAGGAAGGUGGGGACGACGUCAAGUCAUCAUGGCCCUUAUGUCCCGGGCUGCACACGUGCUACAAUGGUCGGUACAAAGGGAUGCUAAGUCGCGAGAUGGUGCGAAACCUAUAAAGCCGAUCUCAGUUCAGAUUGGAGGCUGAAACUCGCCUCCAUGAAGUUGGAAUCGCUAGUAAUCGCGGAUCAGCUACGCCGCGGUGAAUAUGUUCCCGAGCCUUGUACACACCGCCCGUCAAGCCACCCAAGCAAGAUGCACCCAAAAUCGCCUGCCUAACCCGUAAGGAGGAAGCU